rnacentral:lncRNA from 1 species
CGGGGCCGCCUGCGAGGGGUCCACGUGCCCAGUGCAAUCACCUGCACUGCGGCGGCCAGAAGCAGUCCCUGAAGGGCGUCGCAGGUUUGGGGUCGCUCCACGUAUUCUUAGCAGCAAGGCCAAGGAAGGGAGUGUGUAAAGGUGAUGGAUAAAUGCUCCCACAAUUCCUCUCAUGAACCAGGAAUCUUGUCUUAUUUAAUUACAGGUAGCGCUGACAAAUUGCAUCAAGUGUCUAAAUGCAUUAGUGAACAAACGAAUGACUUUUCCUGCACACUCGCAAUUUCAGAUAUUGCACCGUUGUCAAAUUGUAUGCUGCGAUGGGGUUCGUAAGCAUGGAUACCCCCAGCUCCUUCCAUUGCCCACUCUCCAUACAUGAGGUGGACUGCAGUGGAGAAAGCAGGGAGCACUCAAGGAGAGUGAAGAGCAUCCCGGGUUCUAGAGGCAGAGGAUAGCAGCAGGCUGAGACCAGAGGCCAGACACCACCUACCCCCAAAGAGGAGGCAGUUACUCUCUGGCCAGCCUGGUGUUGCUACACACUCCAGACUGGGCUGCUGCGGGAGCCUCCUGGUGGGAGCUGUGAUUCACAGGCACCCCCAGGGCCCAUGCCCAGGCUGGCUCAGAGGCACAGUCCUGUUGGCCCAGAUGCAGAGGAUGGGACCACCUGGGUACAGGCCUGGCAGACCCUGCUGGGUGUUUUGGGGAAAUGUGUUUGAGCUUGAUAACAACAGUGAGUACCACUGAGGGUGACGCCCUGUGACACUGCCUGGCAGGGAACCAGGGUGUGCUUGGAUCUCUGGCUCUGCUCCACAACUGCACAUUGGAGCUCUUGAAGCCUCAAAAACACUGACGGCCAAAAAUGACCUGAAUGUGCAUGAAUGGGCAGAAAGAUAAACAUAACUUGAUCCACCCAUAUAGCUUUCCAUUUACAGAAGAGAGGGUUCUGACCCAGGCUACGUGGGUGAGCCCAGAGGACCCAUGCUCAGUGAAAUAAGCCCACACAGGACAAAUACUGCAUGAUCCCCCUCCUCUGAGGCCCCCAGAGGGGCUGGAUUCAUAGACGGGGAGGGCAGUGGUGGUGCCAGGUUGCUGGGGG